rnacentral:rRNA from 1 species
UACGUAGGGUGCAAGCGUUAAUCGGAAUUACUGGGCGUAAAGCGUGCGCAGGCGGUUUUGUAAGUCGGAUGUGAAAUCCCCGGGCUCAACCUGGGAACUGCAUUCGAUACUGGCUGGCUAGAGUGUGGUAGAGGGAAGUGGAAUUCCAGGUGUAGCGGUGAAAUGCGUAGAUAUCUGGGGGAACAUCAGUGGCGAAGGCGGCUUCCUGGACCAACACUGACGCUGAGGCGCGAAAGCGUGGGGAGCAAACAGGAUUAGAACUCCGAGU